UACGUAGGGUGCAGGCGUUAAUCGGAAUUACUGGGCGUAAAGCGUGCGCAGGCGGUUUGCUAAGACAGGUGUGAAAUCCCCGGGCUUAACCUGGGAACUGCGCUUGUAACUGGCAAGCUGGAGUGUGGCAGAGGGGGGGUGGAAUUCCACGUGUAGCAGUGAAAUGCGUAGAGAUGUGGAGGAACACCGAUGGCGAAGGCAGCCCCCUGGGCUAACACGUGACGCUCGAUGCACGAAAGCGUGGGGAGCAAACAGG
rnacentral:rRNA from 1 species